rnacentral:rRNA from 1 species
GAUGAACGCUGGCGGCGUGCCUAAUACAUGCAAGUCGAGCGAACGGACGAGAAGCUUGCUUUUCUGAUGUUAGCGGCGGACGGGUGAGUAACACGUGGAUAACCUACCUAUAAGACUGGGAUAACUUCGGGAAACCGGAGCUAAUACCGGAUAAUAUUUUGAACCGCAUGGUUCAAAAGUGAAAGACGGUCUUGCUGUCACUUAUAGAUGGAUCCGCGCUGCAUUAGCUAGUUGGUAAGGUAACGGCUUACCAAGGCAACGAUGCAUAGCCGACCUGAGAGGGUGAUCGGCCACACUGGAACUGAGACACGGUCCAGACUCCUACGGGAGGCAGCAGUAGGGAAUCUUCCGCAAUGGGCGAAAGCCUGACGGAACAACGCCGCGUGAGUGAUGAAGGUCUUCGGAUCGUAAAACUCUGUUAUUAGGGAAGAACAUAUGUGUAAGUAACUGUGCACAUCUUGACGGUACCUAAUCAGAAAGCCACGGCUAACUACGUG